rnacentral:rRNA from 1 species
UACAGAGGGGGCAAGCGUUAUUCGGAAUUAUUGGGCGUAAAGGGCGCGUAGGCGGCCUGACAAGUGGAAGGUGAAAUCCUUCGGCUCAACUGAGGAACUGUUUUCCAAACUGUUUGGCUUGAGACCGGGAGAGGUGAGUGGAAUUCCCAGUGUAGCGGUGAAAUGCGUAGAUAUUGGGAGGAACACCAGUGGCGAAGGCGGCUUAUUGGACCGGAACUGACGCUGAGGCGCGAAAGCGUGGGGAGCAAACGGG